rnacentral:rRNA from 1 species
UACGUAGGUGGCAAGCGUUGUCCGGAUUUAUUGGGUUUAAAGGGUGCGUAGGCGGUCUUAUAAGUCAGUUGUGAAAUAUGGCAGCUUAACUGUCAAGGUGCAAUUGAUACUGUAAGACUUGAGUAUUGUUGAGGUAGGCGGAAUGGACGGUGUAGCGGUGAAAUGCUUAGAGAUCGUCCAGAACACCGAUAGCGAAGGCAGCUUACUAAAGAAUAACUGACGCUGAGGCACGAAAGUGUGGGGAUCAAACAGG